rnacentral:tRNA from 1 species
GUGGCUCAGUUGGUAAAGCACUUGCUUUGCAAGCAUGAGGACCUGAGUUCACUUCUUGGAAUACACA